rnacentral:rRNA from 1 species
GACGAACGCUGGCGGCGUGCUUAACACAUGCAAGUCGAACGGAAAGGCCCUGCUUUUGUGGGGUGCUCGAGUGGCGAACGGGGGAGUAACACGUGAGUAACCUGCCCUUGACAUUGGGAUAACUUCAGGAAAAUGGGGCUCAUACAGGAUAUGAGAUACUGCUGCAUGGUGGGGGUUGGAAAGUUUCGGCGGUUGGGGAUGGACUCGCGGCUUAUCAGCUUGUUGGUGGGGUAGUGGCUUACAAAGGCUUUGACGGGUAGCCGGCCUGAGAGGGUGAACGGCCACAUGGCGCCUGAGAUACGGCGCAGACUCCGACGGGCGGCAGCAGUGGAGAAUAUUGCACAAUGGGCGGAAGCCUGAUGCAGCAACGCCGCGUGCGGGAUGACGGCCUUCGAGUUGUAAACCGCUUUCUCCUGUGACGAAGCGUGAGUGACGGUACUGGGUAAAGAAGCACCGGCUAACUACGUG